UACGAACCGUGCGAACGUUGUUCGGAAUCACUGGGCUUAAAGGGCGCGUAGGCGGUUUGCCAAGUCAGGGGUGAAAUCCUGCAGCUCAACUGUAGAAGUGCCUUUGAUACUGGCGAACUCGAGGGAGGUAGGGGUGCGUGGAACUUCUGGUGGAGCGGUGAAAUGCGUUGAUAUCAGAAGGAACGCCGGUGGCGAAAGCGACGCACUGGACCUCUUCUAACGCUGAGGCGCGAAAGCUAGGGGAGCAAACGGG
rnacentral:rRNA from 1 species